GGGGUGAGGGUAUGGGGGAUACAGUGGUACAUGGGGAGAAGUUAUGGGGCAGAGGGGUACAUGGGGUAGAGGGUAUGGGGGAUACAGUGGUACAUGGGGAGAAGUUAUGGGGCAGAGGGGUACAUGGAGAAGAGGGUAUUGGGGACAGUUGUACAGGGGGCAAAGUGGUACAUGGGGAGAGUGAAUGGGGGCAGAGUGAUACAGAAGGAAAGGGAGCUCAGGGCACAGUGGUUCAAUAAAAAAAAUACAUUUUAAGACGUGCCUUAACUCUCACACCCCUAAUGAUAUCUAGGUGUAACAUUUCUACAUGGCUGUCAGCAUUGUGCUU